rnacentral:rRNA from 1 species
GAGGUCGGGAGAGGGAUGCGGAAUUCCAGGUGUAGCGGUGAAAUGCGUAGAUAUCUGGAGGAACACCGGUGGCGAAGGCGGCAUCCUGGACCAACACUGACACUGAGGAGCGAAAGCCAGGGGAGCAAACGGGAUUAGAUACCCCGGUAGUCCUGGCCCUAAACGAUGAAUGCUUGGUGUGGCGGGUAUCGAUCCCUGCCGUGCCGAAGCUAACGCAUUAAGCAUUCCGCCUGGGGAGUACGGUCGCAAGGCUGAAACUCAAAUGAAUUGACGG